rnacentral:rRNA from 1 species
CCUACGGGAGGCAGCAGUGGGGAAUAUUGCACAAUGGGCGCAAGCCUGAUGCAGCGACGCCGCGUGAGCGAUGAAGGCCUUCGGGUCGUAAAGCUCUGUCCUAAGGGAAGAAUAAUGACGGUACCUGAAUAAGAAGCCCCGGCUAACUACGUGCCAGCAGCCGCGGUAAUACGUAGGGGGCAAGCGUUAUCCGGAAUCACUGGGUGUAAAGGGUGCGUAGGCGGUAGGGCAAGUCAGAUGUGAAAGCCCGGAGCUCAACUUCGGGACUGCAUUUGAAACUGUCUUACUAGAGUGCAGGAGAGGAAAGCGGAAUUCCUAGUGUAGCGGUGAAAUGCGUAGAUAUUAGGAAGAACACCAGUGGCGAAGGCGGCUUUCUGGACUGUAACUGACGCUGAGGCACGAAAGCGUGGGGAGCGAACAGGAUUAGAUACCCCGGUAGUC